UAAUACGGAGGGUGCGAGCGUUGCUCGGAAUCAUUGGGCGUAAAGCGUACGCAGGCGGCCAUCCAAGUCGGGUGUGAAAGCCCAGGGCUCAACCCUGGAAAUGCGCCCGAGACUGAAUGGCUUGAGUGCGGGAGAGGGAAGCGGAAUUCCUGGUGUAGAGGUGAAAUUCGUAGAUAUCAGGAGGAACACCGGUGGCGAAAGCGGCUUCCUGGCCCGACACUGACGCUCAUGUACGAAAGCGUGGGGAGCAAACAGGAUUAGAUACCCUGGUAGUCCACGCCGUAAACGAUGAGUGCUAGCUGCUGGGAAUGUUUACCGUUUCAGUGGCGAAGCUAACGCAUUAAGCACUCCGCCUGGGAAGUACGGCCGCAAGGCUA
rnacentral:rRNA from 1 species